AGCAGCCGCGGUAAUUCCAGCUCCAAUAGCGUAUAUUAAAGUUGUUGCAGUUAAAAAGCUCGUAGUUGAAUUUCGGGAUCAGUAAGCCGGUCGUACCUUCGGUAUGUACUGGUGUCACUGAUUCCUCCCUUCUGAUGAACCGUUAUACCAUUUAGUUGGUGUGGCGGGGAAUCAGGACUGUUACUUUGAAAAAAUUAGAGUGUUUAAAGCAAGCUCGCGCUUGAAUACAUUAGCAUGGAAUAAUAAAAUAGGACGUUUGAUCUCCUAUUUUGUGGUUUCUAGGAUCGACGUAAUGAUUAAUAGGGAUAGUUGGGGGCAUUAGUAUUCAAUUGUCAGAGGUGAAAUUCUUGGAUUUAUUGAAGACUAACUACUGCGAAAGCAUUUGCCAAGGAUGUUUUCAUUA
rnacentral:rRNA from 1 species